AUGGGCCAGCCCAACUACCGUCACCAAACUCACGCGUUAGCACACUUUCGAGCGCAUUCUCUUUUUGAUUGCCGGAUGGCGCGUUGCGUAUGGGCUUUGGGAGACGAGGAGACUGUCGAGGUUCUGCUAUCCAACAGAUCAGAUGAUGCGAGGCUGUGGCUAUUCUGGCUGUUUGAAACGAUAAGUCAGCAAGAUCUAGCAAAAAUACUCAUAUCAAUGUGGGCUAUUUGGUGGGCGAGGAGAAGAGCCAUACAUGAUGAUGAAUUUCAGAGCCCUUUGUCUACCUUGAGCUUCAUAAACCGUUAUUUGAAGGACCUGAACAUAGCUACAGUUAUGAAACCAGCCACCAAUACUACAACUUCAGAGAAGCGAGUUCAUAGGUGGAUUGCACCAGGACGGGGGCGGCCGCAACGAUCUGCAGAGACAAAGAUGGCAACUAUCUCGGCGCGUCAGCUGUCACCAUUGCCGGUCUGGUGGAUGCAGCGAGCCUUGAAGCACAUGCAUGCAGCGAGGCGCUUGCUCUCGCGAGAGAUCUAA
rnacentral:rRNA from 1 species